AUGCAUCUCUGACAGACCUGGAGCAGUUAAUGUCUGCUGCUAAGGUUUCCACUACAGAUGCAAGAAAAAAAGGUCCUCGCGCUUUCUGUCUGAUUGUGGCAGCCAAGAUUGAAUGGGGGAAUACAGGA